ACGAGUGAUCCUGCCUUACAACCCAAAGGCCCAUCUGAAGAGCAGCGUCCUGAGCCGAGUGGAUUCUCUGGCCUGAGCACAGGCGGGCGGGCUGCCGCUCACACACGCCCCUGAGUGGUGAGACGGUGGCACUGGGGCCAUGCCUUGGCCUCUCUGAGCUCCUGAUGGCCUCCCCAGGCCCCACUGCGGGAAGCCAAUGAGCGUUAGGAGGCGCCCGAGGUGAAGGUCGUGAAAUCGUCUUGAGCUAAUACAAGUUUCUAAAAGAAAAGGAUUCUUAUCACCGCAAGUCCAGUCCGCGUCCCCGUUGAAGAUCAGCCUCUAAUCAAUUCGCCACCCCUUGCUCGUGUGCGGCAUCUGCAUUCAGAGCUGGAAGCGGUCUGCUGAGUGAUGGCUCUCUCCCUUUUUUCUUCGGCUGGGGGAAAUGUCCUGACACCACGGUUUACAGUGCCUGGCUUUCAUUUCAGCCUCGUCACCGAAAAGAGCCCCAUGUGCUAGCAUAGCCUGGAGGAGUCAGCAUCCUGCCUCCCACCAGGAGCGAAGCAGCCCCGGCUCCUUGUCCACCUCCCCAGGAAGACUGCUUGCCAUUGCCCCCUUGAGGCCGCAAGGAAAUAAUGCGAAGCUCAGGGGGCUCCUUCCAGGUGCCCCAGAGUCCAGUGAAGGUGUGCGCAGGCAGGAGCGAUGCUUGAGCUGCUUGAAACACAGCAGCAGAGGGUGCCUGGCUGGUUGGACACGGGGAAAGGAUUCCCAGCCACUCUGGGCGAGCAGUGUGCUGGAUCUCCUCUCAGAAGAGUUUGAAGUCAGUGUGCAUCUCUAUACUCCGGGCCUGCCAGGGACGGGCCUUAAGACUCCUGAGAUGCCCUCGGGGGGCAUCUUUCCUAUGGUCCCUGGUGUAAAGCACCUGGCUUCCUUUUAACACUAGCAACUGCAUCUUCACCCUCCCAGCCUGUAAUUUUACAUAUGCUUCUUUUCUGACUGUAAGAUUCCCAGCAUUUUCUGCUCUGCUCCUCUUUGCUCCUGGUUCUCAGGUAAAUUUGGCUACACCCUGCCUACAAUGCCCGUGCUGCUGUCUGAGUGCUGCGCCACCUUGAAAUUUCUCCUGCCAGAGAAGCUAGCCCUUCAUCUUUAAACUCAGCCUCACACAAAGUCUCAGGGCAAGGACAAAAAAGGAGUCAACUUUUUUGCUACAGCAACAAGGAUGGCCUCUUGUUCGAUUUCCGUCUGAGUCCUUGUCUCCAUCUGAACUUUGUCAAUCUGGCCUUUACUGUGCACAAAUUCCUACCAGCCUUCUGGUCUUGUGAGCACCCACCAGAACCACUGGCGAAGCCCUCCUGACAGCAGUCGAGGUGUGCUCCAGCCCGCCUUUCCAAAUAUUUCCAUGUGCCUCCUGAAACCCGUCCAGAAGGUUUUUCCACAUCGUCAGGCGUUCACACCAGUCACUCACUCCUCCAUCCCAGGGUCCCGUCAGUCAGCUUCCCGUGACUGUAACCGCCCCCAGACAGUCAGCUGGCAAAGAGAAGAGGGCUUUCUGGCUCCCAUUUUGGAGGUGACAGUCCAGUCUUGACUGGUGGGCCCAGGCAAGGCAGCACCUCGUGGCUGCGCUGCACGCAGAAGGUCUUCACCUCCGGGCCAGGACGCGAGAGAGAGGAGAGGCCUGCAGCCCAGGAGCCCCGCUGCCCACCCUUCCUACCCAUUGUUUUUUAACUGGGCAUCACACACAGGCACGACGUGGACGGCAGCGUGGCGUGGUCACGCCUGCCCGCAGUGUGGCCGGGCCACCCGCUGCACAGGUCCUCUCCUCUCCUGCCGCCCCCGCCAUCCCCUUCUCCUAUGCCACUGACCGCUGUCCGUCUUUUCCCCUUACUUCACGCUAGCCUCCACAGAUGAGAGGAAGCUUUGGUCCCUUGGCGUCCUGAGACUGUGUCACUUAGAUGAUCAUCUCCAGGUCCAUCCGUUGCCUGGCAAAUGCCGGAAUUUCAUUCUCCGCGGCUGAGUGGAACUCCAUCAUGCGUGAUUCUCCUUUUCCACUCACCCGUCCACAGGCACCUGGGCUGGCUCCAUAUCUUGGCUACUGUGAAUUGUGCUGCUACUAAACAGUGAAGCGUGGGA